UACGGAGGGUGCAAGCGUUAUCCGGAUUCACUGGGUUUAAAGGGUGCGUAGGCGGGCAGGUAAGUCAGUGGUGAAAUCUUUGGGCUUAACCCGAAAACUGCCAUUGAUACUAUCUGUCUUGAAUAUUGUGGAGGUGAGCGGAAUAUGUCAUGUAGCGGUGAAAUGCUUAGAUAUGGCAUAGAACACCCAUUGCGAAGGCAGCUCACUACGCAUAUAUUGACGCUGAUGCACGAAAGCGUGGGGAUCAAACAGG
rnacentral:rRNA from 1 species